AAAAAAUCUUUUGAAAUGUCAAAAAUGCAAUUCAUCAACACUUUGUAGGUUUCUUUUUGUGUGUGUGAACUAUAGAUAAAGAUAUAUAAUUUUAUGCCAUUCUCCCCCUCCCCACACUCCAUUUUUUUUCCUGCUCAUACUUAGGGACCAUGACAAACCUCUAGGACUUUAUGGUCCAAACAGGGCCACUGAAUUAAUGGAUAGGUGAGGCUUUUGAGGAGGACAGAGAAACAAUGUUUGUAUUUCUCUUCCUGUGUACUUUUUCCUUUAGGUCCUUUAGAUCUGCAUGGUAGAGCUUGAAUGUUUUUUUCUCUUUGGAACAUGCUACCCAUAUUAUACUUUGAUCAAGAUUGGAAUGUGACUCCUAGCCAAAGAAGGUGAAGUGUGGGCUACUCAGGACUUUCUCUUUCCUGAAUAUCAAAAGAGAAGGAUAAGAGUAAGAAACCAAGGUGAACAGAAACCACAGUGAGGAAGAAGAAUAUAGAAAGAUUUAAGGGAUGAACUUUGGACAGAUGGCCUGAUUUGAUUGACAUACAGUAAAAAUUCCAAGUGUGAGUGGAAUAAUAUGUUAGAUCAAAUCUGAGAGUUCAAGAAACCUCCCAGUCUUUGGGAUAAGCUACUGAGCAAAGAGGCACUGUUAAUAUUCUGGUGAAUUCUGUUCCUUUGGUUGAUCCUUGUCAUCUGACUCCAGUGCCAACUUCUCAUGCUAAAGGAGGUGAGAGAUGGUCCUGUUCAGUACCACUUUGAGGAAAACAAACAGUCACACACAGAAAGAGAGAGGCAGAGACAUAGGCAGAGGGAGAAGCAGGCUCCAUGCACCGGGAGCCCGACGUGGGAUUCGAUCCCAGGUCUCCAGGAUCGCGCCCUGGGCCAAAGGCAGGCACUAAACCACUGCACCACCCAGGGAUCCCAAAUAGCAAUUUUAUAUGAAAGCUGGCAUUUGUUUCAAAACUUGUUCACCUUCCUCAGCUAUUUAUAUCUGCCACCCUAUUUAUUCAUCUCUCUCAUUUUCUACAGAUAAUCUUUACUAGAAAAUGGUUUGGCAGUUUCUUAUAAAUACACUUUACCAUGUUAUCCAGGAAUCCUACUCCUGGAAUUUUACCACAGAGGAAUGAAAACUUAUGUUCACACAAGAAAAGUUUCAUGAAUGUUCAUUGUCUAUUUGUGAUAGCCAAAACUUGUUAACAGUCCACGUGUUCUUCAGUGGGUGAAUGAAUAAACAAAUUAUGGUUCAUUCAUACAGUUGACUACUACUCAGCAAUAAAAAGGAACAAAUUAUUAUUAACACGACAAAUUGGAUGGAUCUUAAGGGCAUUGCAAUAAAUGAAAAAAAAUCUCUCAAAAGGUUAUACAUUGUAUGACUCCACUUACAUAAUAUUCUUGCCAAGACAAAGUUAUAGUUCUGCAGAUGAGAAGAGUGGUCCCCAGGGACUGGGGCGAGGAAAGGUGUUUGUCACUGUGAAAAAUAGCCUGAGGCAAUUUCUUUGGGGUUGAUGACUCAGCCUUGUUUUCUGAUUUCUGGUGGUAUUUACAUUAAUCUAUACAUGUGAUAAAAUUUGAAUGAACUGUACAACAACUGUUGAAAUCUAAGUAAACUUGUAGUUUUGUUAAUAGAACUGUAUUAAUGACAGCUUCUUGUUUUUAAUAAUUGUACUUUGGUUGCAUAAAAUGUUAUUCAGAGAAACUGGGUAAAUAAUACACAGGGACUCCAUUUUUCUUUGCAACUUCUGUGUUAACCUACAAUUAUAUAUAUAUUUAAUUAAAAACUUUCACAUGGUACUUUCUCAUCUAACACCUGCAUGCAUACUAUUUUCCUUGUGUCCUGUUACACUUGAGAAGCACUCCUCUUCCCAUCUUAGAUCAGGCUCUUCACAUGAGCUUUGCAUCCCAUCUCUUUACAACUUAUCAAUAGUCUUAUCCCAUCAAUUAUUUAUAAAUUUUGCUCUCAGCUGGAUCCUUCUGGUAAGUUUAUAAACUUGCUCAGAAUAUCUGCCAUUAAAAAAUAAUGUUUCCUUCGUUUGACCUCAUAUCCCUUUGCAGCCAUAUGUUAUCAAUUUUCUCCCCAUUUUCAAAGCCAAACUUCUGAAAUAUGUGAAAAUGUGUAUACAUUCACAGAACCUAACUCCUCACAUGCCACUUUUCUUGCAACCUACACCAGUGCUCAAGGGGAGGGGGAGCCACUAAUCAUGGGAGAAAGGACCUGAAAAGGGUGAUUAUCAACAUUCACAUCACUAAAUCCAGUGGACUUUCUCCCACCAUUUUCCGUAGGUCUCAUUUUAUAUGUCUUUGUGUGAUUAUUUGAUUAAUAUCUAUCUCAUCACAGCUGACAUUAGAGAUUAUCUUUUUUUGUUACUGUACUAGAACAUGGUAGAUGUCCAAUUGUUUAAGCAUAAAUUAGCAUCUACACAUAGUCAUGCAAGAUAUAAUUCUCUAGCUCGGAGAAAUUUGUUACUGCAGUGUGAAUAUGUACGCAUAUACACUCUUGAUUUGAAAUAUCCACUUGGUAAUCUUAAGUGCAUCUGAAGAUUAUCAUAUUCAAGAUUGAAUUUAACAUGUUUUCCUUAAAAUGUAUUCAUACCUGGACUCCUGGGUGGCUCAGUGGUUGAGCAUCUGCCUUCGGCUCAUGGCUCGAUCCCGGGGUUCUUGGAUUGAGCCCCACAUCGGACUCACUGCG